rnacentral:tRNA from 4 species
GCGGAAGUAGUUCAGUGGUAGAAUACAACCUUGCCAAGGUUGGGGUCGCGGGUUCGAAUCCCGUCUUCCGCUCCAGUA